AGCGUUUAGAUCAUUCCCUCCUCCUUGUUCUUCUUUUUCUUUGAAUGCCGCAUACACUUCUUCUCUAGAUUU
rnacentral:sRNA from 1 species